rnacentral:rRNA from 1 species
AUUGAACGCUGGCGGCAGGCCUAACACAUGCAAGUCGAGCGGAUGAAGGGAGCUUGCUCCUGGAUUCAGCGGCGGACGGGUGAGUAAUGCCUAGGAAUCUGCCUGGCAGUGGGGGAUAACGUCCGGAAACGGGCACUAAUACCGCAUACGUCCUGAGGGAGAAAGUGGGGGAUCUUCGGACCUCACGCUAUCAGAUGAGCCUAGGUCGGAUUAGCUAGUUGGUGGGGUAAAGGCCUACCAAGGCGACGAUCCGUAACUGGUCUGAGAGGAUGAUCAGUCACACUGGAACUGAGACACGGUCCAGACUCCUACGGGAGGCAGCAGUGGGGAAUAUUGGACAAUGGGCGAAAGCCUGAUCCAGCCAUGCCGCGUGUGUGAAGAAGGUCUUCGGAUUGUAAAGCACUUUAAGUUGGGAGGAAGGGCAGUAAGUUAAUACCUUGCUGUUUUGACGUUACCAACAGAAUAAGCACCGGCUAACUUCGUG